rnacentral:lncRNA from 1 species
AUUUGGGUGUCACUAUGCCUAUACAAACACAUUAAGAAAUACUUGGUUUUGAACUUAGUGAGGAAACUAUAUCGUAAGAAAAAAAAAAAAAACUGUGUCACCUCUUGAUGAGAGCCAAGAGACAGAAACUUUGACGUGCCAUAGAGCAAAGUUUGUUCACAUAAUUUUAUGGCUUCAUGGAGCUCCUUCAGAUGUGACCAUUUUGGAAGCCUAACCAACCCUAAAAUGCAAUCCAUCUUCAUUAGUGAAAUCAAAUAUCAAAGAAAUAAACCUUUCAAUUAAAAUUUAAAAAAUAUUAGUUAUUUGUAACUCAGUCAAUGAAAAUCUAGAAAGUAGCAUACCAUAUUCAUCUAUUGGAGCAUCAUAAUCAUAGCUUGUAGUGAUGAAUGGUCCCCCGGAAGUGCGACCAAAAUUUGUUCCACCAUGAUACUAAGAAAAAGAUGUGAAGUGUGCAUUCAUUGUUUUCAAUAGCAUGAAAUAAUUUGCAGUCUCCUACCAAAAAAUAUAAUGAUUUUUAAAAGACAUACCAUGUAAUAGUUUUGCAGACUACCACCCUUCUGAAAAAAGCGAGCAACAGCAAAUGCAAUAUCCUCAGGUGGUCUAUGAGGCUUUGCCGUCCCAAAAUUCUGAAACCUGGAAAAAGGUUACAUUUUAGUAUUAGUAAAAGCCUAAAAGAUCUGUAAUUGAGCUUACAACAAUGGAAGUAAAAAAAUUGUGCCAUGAGAUUUUGUUGACAUAAGAUGCAUCAAAGUGAUACUAUGGUUGACCAGAUGCAGAGCCUAAAAUCAUAGCAAUUUACAGCCAGCAAGACCUAGAAAGAUUAUAGUGCUCUGGAUUUGGGGCAUUAGGUAAUUCCUCCAGUUUAUAGUUAAUAAAGUAAAGCAUUAGAAACAUAUUUACAGAAGCAUCUUCCAGUUAUCACUGAGAACUAAUCAGGUGCGGAGUGGAACAAUCAAGAAAUCAUAGCCUCUUUGCAAGUCUUCUUGGGUAUGGGUCUGAGUUGGUCUCAAGCAUAAACCUACUGACCCCACUUGAUUCAAAUUCUCUUUCUUUCUCAUUUCUGAAAGCCAAAAUAAAAUUUGCCUUAGUCCACUAGAUUGAUCCAGUCCAAACCAUCUUGUCCCAGCCUGGCCUAUUCACCAGCUACAAUGAUCAAGUUUGAGCCAAGAAAUCUUGUCCUGAUAGCAAGUCUCAUCAGGUUCAGAUAAGUUCCUAUGCCCCUUGCACCCAAUAUCAACCCAAACCCACCAUUUACCAAGAAUAAGAUAGAUUAUUUGGAGAGAAUAAAAAACCCAAUUUCUCCUCCUUGUGCUGGGAACAUUGAAAAUGUUUAUGCAUGCACAUAUAUCAAUGUUUUCCUUUCCCAAAGAAAAGGUGGAAUACCCAUCUAUUACGUAUGAUAUGUUGGUUAGUUAUUUGAUCCACGUCCACUCUAGAUGAACCUUAUUUCUCUCACCUAUCUCUCCCCUUCUGACCACCAUUUCCACAUAUCUUAACUAUUGUGAACCUGUGACUUCCUUUUCAGAUCAGAAACAAGUUGUCCCCAUAUGUGAAUAUGAUUCUAGCAUGCUAGUCUCUAUAAAGUUAAGGUGUCAAAAUCAUAAUACAUAGAUGCUUCACUUAUUUGACAGACCAGAGUGUUGUCCAUAGAUUUAAAUAUCAUCUAAAAUAUAAUGAAAAGGAAACCAACUAUAUCCACCCAAAGUUUACGUAUUUAUUCUCAACUUCUCAUUUACUCACAUGUAGUUUAUUUCGCAAAGCCAAUUCUAUAAAUUAGAUUCUCCACGUCAGAAGUUAAACUUGAGAGUAACACUUUAAAAGCAAAGAAGAUAAUGCUGAUUUAACAUAGAAAUUACCAUCCAGGCCAAUUUUCUGUCCAAAAUUUUGGUUUGUUCGCAGAACUUGGUUUGAAUUGAUCGCAAUAAAAUGAGUUGCAAGUAUUUAUCUGCAAGUUUGAAGAAGAAAAAAAAAAUCAAACUUUAGUCGCUACACGAUAAUAUGUUUCUAAUUUUUGAAGCUGUGAAACAGGGAUUGACACUAAUAUAACAAUGAUGAUACAUAUAAAUGUAAAGAGCCAUAAUUUUGCAUUCUCACAAGUUGAGUCACAAGAUAAGAGACAUGCAAAACAAGAAAGAAUAGCAAAUUCUGUUUGAUUUUGCUUGAUGCACUUUAUAUGAUAGGAAGCAGCUGCACUGUCUUGGAGUUCCAAUUGAACAGAGAAGUGAAUUUUCUCUCAUGCAUUGCUGCUCUAACUACUCAACACAAAGUUUGAAAAAGCUACUGACAACUUCUUGUCAAUAGCUUUGUCAUUCAAAAUAAACAGUGGUUAGCAAGUUCCAUGCUGUAUAUUAUAUUGGCCUACUACCAUUAAUCUGAAUCCUCAAAAAAUUUGAGAUGGAAUUCAGAAAUUGUACAUCAACAAGGAUAUGAACCAUUACCACAUUAUCAGGGGCAUCAUACUGUUGGCACAUGAUCCAAGGUACGCCAAUGUUUUGAGAGAGUGCCAUAUUGGCAGCCCACCUUGAAUAUGACCUCCCCCCAUCACCAUACACUGAUUCAAUAUCUCCAUAUUCAUUUUCAAUCUGCAGUCAAGCCAAAAAAAGGAACGAAAAUAAGAAACUGAUUUCAGUUCUUGAGCUUCGACGACAAUAAAAGAAUGAUCUUUGAUAGGAUUUUUGAACAAAUGACGAUAAAUGAAACAGAUAAAACUCAGCCCUAUCAGCCAUCGAUGAUCUUUCACAGUGGUAGAGCACUUUCUAUUGGAACGAGGAAGAACACUCUUAUAUCAUGCAAAAACUCGAAAAGACUGAUAGAGCUAUGAGGCUACACCUUUAGCUGGCUAUGAUAUAUAUACACUUCGAAGUUAGAUCAAAAUUCUUACUUACAGUUUCUAUCUUCCACUCUUAUUACUAAUAAGCAAAGUCUUCAAAACAGCUCGGUCUGUAAAACUAAGUUCCAACGAAAGUUCUGUUCCAUGCUUGGAUGCUAUCGCAAAAUAAUCUCAAUAUUAAAGCACGCCCCAUUUGAAGGUUAUCUAAAUGCAUAAAACGUGCUCGCUAUGCGGAUUGCAAGAGAGGAUUGCGAUCAUUUGGUCAAUACUUGUAGUUGAACCAUGAGGCUGGAUUGAGCUAACUACAAUAUUUGGGAAGGCAGGAAUUGUAGAGAUAACAGUAGAUUCAAGUAAAGAUGUAUGAGAAUCAAAUUUUUCUGCAAAGAAAUCAAAGAACUUGGUCAGUUGCAGAAAUUAAAUGAUAGUUAAGAGCAGUUGCCUGAGCCAAAAUGAUAUGGCCUCCUUGUGAUGCAAACAAAUUCUCUCGCUUCAUCAUCUGCACUAUGAAUGUGGUGAAGCUCGCCAUAUGACUCUGAAAGCCAACAAUCAAAGACAAACUCUUGUCUGUCAGAUUACACUCCGCAUAGACAAAAAAAACCAAGAACAUGCCGUUCCCACCAAAGAAAGAUUGAAGCUUUAUUCAUCCACAGACCUUGAAAGGUUCAUUGUCAGUCCGGAAAACAGUCCCCGGAACAUAGUGCAGCCAAACCGGCACUCCCCUGCAUGGAAAAUCCAAAGCCCAAUAACAAUCGAAUCCCCUAAAGAACAAAACCAACAGAGGUGCAAAAAUCUGAACGUCACUCGGCAUACACACCCGUAAUUCCACUCUGCGGCCACAAAUGGCCCAAUGCGAAGGAUCAUAUACAUGCCCGCAUCUCUGACGAUCUUCGCGAACCUGACCAGAUCGAAGCGGUCCUCGAAAUAAUACUGCAAACAGAGAGAAACGGCAGAGGAAGCGGGUUAUGUUGAGGAACAUAUCAAGCAGGAGCGCGAUCAAGAAACAUGGGAAGGGAGUUGGAAGGGAACUGACUUGGCCGGGAGAGGGCUCGUGACCAUUCCAAAAGACGUAGGUCUCGAUGACGUCCACGCCUCCCCUUUUUGCCGCCGCGACGAGGUCGGGCCACAUCUGGGAGUAGGAUCAAAGACCGAGAGUGGCUUAGAGAAAGAAGUAGCAGAAGAAGAGCAGCAGCAUGAACAACAGAAAGGAGGGUAGAGAGCGUACGGCGGGGACGCUGCGAGGGUAGUGAAUGGAGGCGGAGAUGAGGAGCUUGCGCUGGCCGUCGAUGAUGAGGGAGCGGUGGUCGAAGGUGACAUUGCGCGAGACUGCAACAGAGAAGAAGAGGAAGAAGAGAAAGGAAAGAGAGAGGAUGAGGAGGCCAGCGUUCUUGGCCAUGGCUGCAAGUGUAACUCGAGCUGCGGGAGGCCAUCAGCUGAGUUUAUAGAGAGGCCGGGAGGCGGAAGGAAGGCAGGAGAGGAGAGAGCGUGACAGCUGCGACCAGCUAACCCUGUGAUUUCACCGCAGGGAAUCGCGGUAAUUGCAGUUGCAUCGACAACCAUCACUUUCCGUGCAUGACACUGAGCAGCGCAGGCGAUUGGGGAAACCCAAAGGAACAGGGAAGGCCAUGUCGGUCCGGGUGCGCGUCGCCUGUCCUAUCGAAGACGGGAUCCAACAAUAAUCGCCAUACCAAUUAUUGUCCAAGCGGGACCCACGACCCAUGCAUCCUCCCGUACCUGAAUCCUGUGCCGACUGGGUCCAGUUGAUCCUAUCCGCGAGCAGACCAUCUGUCGGCGUCUGAUUUCCCUACGAGAUCCUAAAGCACACGUACCGCACACAUAUACCGAACACCUUCUAAGAGACCGGAUCGUUGGGGCCCACACCAUGACUUCCACGUGGGAGGAGGAGGGCGCAGGUGGAACGCGGGUAAUUAGACCAAAGGAGAACGAAAGCCUUUCGUUGCUUACGUGCGGAGAUAAUAAGAUACUCCAAUGCAAAAGACUUCGGUGGACUUCUUUUUAGAUUUCGUGAUGUACGUUAUAAUAAUAAUAAUAAUGAUUAUUAUUAUUAUUAUUAUUUGAUGGGCAUUCCAGUAGACAGGACACAAAUGACCAGUUUUAGUCUGCCUUUGGAUCGAAAUCAAACGGCUAGCAUUAAAGAAUGUAAAUGUUAAUAAACUAGGGGACAGGACAUUGGAGACAAGCAAUUCAGGGAAAAUGGAUGUUUGAGAUUGAGAUAGGAAAGUGUUUAACGAUAUUAAGACAGGAAUAAUUAGGCAACUAUGAUUGAAUUAUGUAAGUUGAGAGAAUGUGGGAUGAGAGGUUACAAGGAUUUUGCCAUGGAUGGAAGAUACGGAGAUUUAAGGGUAUCACCAAAUACUACAUGAUGUCAUUGGAGAAAUCAUGUACGGAAUUCGUUCACCAUUUUAAUUUUAAUGUAAGUAAUCCAUGAUUCUUAUGGAUAUUGAUUCAAAGUUUAUAUGGAAUGUUAGUGAUAUCGUCUUUAUUCAAAAUUCAUGGUUAUGGAAGGGAGGAGGUUUUAAGAUGAAAAAUAUAUAGUUAGUAUGAUUUGAUGGUUGAAAGGAUAUAGUAGUUUACUAAGAGCAAAUGAGGGUGAUCAUUUAUUUACAUGAGAGCUUUAUUUAUCGGAUGGAAAUGAUUGUGAAUUAAGCAUACGAUACCUCUAUGAUGAUUCUAAUUUUUUUUAAUUAUAUAGUAAUAUUAAGUAGCAUUGAGAAACCCAAAAUGAAUGAGGAGUGAGAUCUUUUCAUUUUUAAUUAACAUGAUACGAUGAUAUCUUUAUCGAAUAAUUUUAUUCAAUAAAUUAAUCGUCUAUGUAAAGAUGAUAACUAUUCCUUCGUCUAAAUCAACUAUUGAAAAUUUUAUGAAUAAUAUAUUUUUGUUUGUAGAUCAUAUUCUUAUAGAUUUAAUUGAUAUUGCUUAAGUUAUACGACAUCCUUUCAAGUUCAUCUAUAAAUAGUCGAUCUCUUUAUAACCUUAUAUGGUUUUCUAAAGACUUGCAAAAGAGAAGAUAUGUUAGUAGAAAUGUUUAACUCAGGAUCUCACAAAAAAAUAUUUAAACAAAUACUUGAUAGAUAAUUUUUUAAAAUAUAAAGAUGAAAUUUAUAAGCUAUGAAUGACCAUGAAACAAAGGAUCCAAGAUAGUUGGCUACACUCAAGAGUCCUCAUAAGUGUCCAUACGAUACCGCUAUGGAAUUAAGUAACGAACUAACCCAAAACACUAUUCUAAAGGCCUAUAUAACAUUGUGCCGAAUUGAGUAGCUUUAAGGUGCUUAGGUGAAUGAUAUUUCAUGUUACUUUGUGCACCUAAAAGACAUCUAAAAUGACUACAUGUCUUAUUUUUAGAUAAUUUUACAUUUAUACGAUACUCACACACACCAAAAUGGAAUUGUCAAACCAACUACAAGCCCUUUUGUGCUACCUAAGGCAUGAAUGGAAUCGAAAAGCAUGGACACAUCUAGAUAUUAUGUUAGACACAUUCCCUUUAAGCUAUUCAUAACAUUAUUCCUCUUCAUUGGAUGUCCUUAUUGAAACCUCUACAAAUACUGCACCUUAUUACUUCACUAAAUCUUUAAUCUCAUGCAUUAGUCAUAAUGCACUUCUCACCUUUAGUUGCUCUUUGUUGUUACUAUUAAGUGGUCAAACUUUGAUCUACCAACGUUGUUUUGACUUGCUAGUGAAUCUGACUUUAGUGUAGGGUCAGUCAAGUUGCAUUGACUUUCAUUGGUUCCUCCAAACCCUUUAAAUGAAUGAAAAGACAUUCCCUAUUAUGUAUCAAUCCCUCAAAUGUCUAUACCAACUGAAUUGGAUAGAUGUCUAUUAUAACUUUAAUGAGCAUUGUCUAAUAAAAUUUAAAGUUUUUAGGUCAUUUUUUCAUAAAAGUUACCAUUGACUUAUCUUUUGCCUAGUUAUCAUCUUUGCUUUCAAUUAUCACUUUGUUGAGAAAUGAAGCAAACAAGCUAUUUUUGAUAGAAUCAAUCACCAUUGAUUGUUUACCACUAUAUCUCUUCGAAGGGCCUUUAAAUAUGUAUAGAGCUCUUCUAUCGGAUAACUAAAAUAACUGGGACACUCAGUUUCGCUUAUUCUCUUAAGAGUUGAGAAGGCUAAGGGUACUUGACUUCACUUACCUCCUCAGGAUUAUACUUCCUUCACUUACUUUUUGCUCACACUUUUGAAUCACUUAAAUUAUUAUAUUAUUUGUAUUGAGUUAGCUAUUAUAAGUUGCCUUAUCGUUGUCGUCGAGCUUCCGGAAUGCAAGAAGCAUUGCCCGAUGGAACAAAAAAUUUUCCUAACUAGAGCAACUUUUUAUUAGUUUUGGUCAUCCCUCAUGAAUAUACCACAUACUUGAUCAUUUUUGUUGCCUACCCCUUUGAGCAAAAAGGGUACAACAUCACAUAUUACAUACUUCGUUCCUUAGUCAAGAACUUUCGCAUCGAACCAAAGUUCCCUACUUUUGACUAUCUUGAUGAGAUGCUUGUCAACACAGAUUUUAUAACGUUCUAUGGCCUUUAUUAUUUUGUUUUAUCAUAAUACUUGGAGUAUGUUAUUAUAUUUUUUAACUCCUCGGCCCCUUUCAUAACUAUACACUCUCCCUCCACGAGAACAAGGGAUCAAUGAUUUUAUGAAAGUCUCACCUCUAUGGUACCAUGAUGCUUCUAUGACCACGAUGCUAUAAUUUGCUGCCUUAUAUCUCCAUUCCUUUUCUUCUCCUCGUAAUCGAUAAAUUUAUCUCUUUGGCAUUGUAGUACUCUAAGUUAACAUAUAUUUUAACUGAUGCUUGGUUUUGGGUAACUAAGUCCAUUUGGACUCAUCAUCACUUUCUUGCCCCUUUCAAUUACCUACUUCAAUACCUUUAUAUUCUCCAAGUAAUUUACCUUAGUUAAUAGAAAGAUAUUCUAACUUGUUAGGAUCGAGUCAACACUACGAGGAGGGGUGAAUUAGUGCAGUGAAAAAAUUACGUCGGUUUGAAAAUCUUCGUACAAUAAAAUCUGAUUUCGACGAAAUCGUCUGUUUAACUCGUAUAAGUUUGCAAGUGAAUAGAGAAGAGGGGAUUGGAUAGUUUGCAAUGAAGUAAAGUAGAAUGCAGUAAAAAGAAUAAGAAGUAAGGAAAGAACACAUCGGAAUUUAUAGUGGUUUGGUCAUAGUGACCUACAUCCACUUCUGAUUCCUCCUUCGUUGAAGCCACUAGCAUCUACUAAAGGUCUUCUUUCAAUAGGCAAAGACCAACCACCUUUUUACAGCACUCUCUCAUUUUCACGAGUUUAGGAGAUAACCCUUACAAGUCACUCUUUUACAAGUAUUCCCUCACACACCUCCCUUAGGACUAACUCUAAGCACUAGGAGGAGGGAACUCAAAUUUUUUGCAGAGUUUACUUCAUUUUUUCCUUAAAAAUUCUUGCUUCUUUCUUGCUGCCCAAGUGAGGUAUUUAUAGGCCCCAAAUAGUUUCAAAAUUGGAGCCAAAAAUUUAAACUUUCGAGUCUUCCGAGUACGGGUGGUACCACCGCCUACAGCGUAAUAUUGGGCGGUAUCACCACCCAAUCUGGUCAUACCACCACCUGACAGCCUCGGAGAUCGGGUUUUUUGAGUUUUCCAACUCAUAGGCAGUUCCACCACCUGACCCAACUUUUGGGUCAUUGAACAGGCCUCCCAAUGAGCUCAAAUUAGUCUCAAUUAAGGCUCAAUUGGCCCCUAAUUGAGUUAGCAUGAUUACACCAAAAGCUAACUCAAUUAGCCCCCUAAACUACUUCAAUUUUAGAGAAAUGAUUACAAAGCAUAAAUCCUUUGUCUGGCAUGUCAUUGGUUUAUCCGGCGCUCGUCCGAUCCUUCGGUGCAUCGUUCUCUCCUUCGACGUAUUGCCAAAUCGGCAUAUUGACUCUCACAACUUUCGAUCUCCUUGGCUCAAUGUUCGAUCCUUCGACCUGAUACCUGAAUUCAUGAUAGAAAGUCUUCUACCGACACGUCGACCGAUCCUUCAGCCUGACGUCCAAUUGUUUGACAUAUUCACUUUGGCUCAAUGUUCGAUUCUUACUGCUUUAAUCAAUUUGCCUCUCCUUGAUCGAAGCUAGUCAUGUGUCACUCAAAAUAUAGAUUAGAUCAUAAACUUAUUAAUUGAUUUCAUUAUCAAAAUCUGAGAUUCAACAUAACUCUCUUGCAUGGCCUCUGCCAUCAUGUUAUAGGUUUCAUGCUAAUUCUAUUCUCGUUUGUAUCCUUAGUAGUAACAUUUACUCACUCGACCUUAUCCUCUUACUUGUUGAGCUCCCUCAAGCGAAUAUAAGCUCUUGAGCAAUCUACUCUCUAAUAGCUUUAAUCAUACAUUUAUAUGGUCAAGUCCCUCACAUGAUUAAUUUAUACUUGCACUCGAAAGUCUUACCUUUGUGGUACUAUAAUACUUCUUCAUGCUCAUGACCUUACCAUCUAAUAUAAACUUCGAUGCAUGCACGGAAGAUCUCACCUUUGUGGUAUAAUGACAUUUACUCCUUAAACCUAUAACCCUUCUUAUCGUUAUGUUAUCUAUUGAAGCAAAGCUUCCAAUAGCUCCAAUCAUUUCCCUCCUGAUGAUUAAAUUCCUCAUGAGACUUAAUUUGUGUGUUAGAUUAUUUUGAACUAUUCCAUCAUGAUCCAUUGCAAUGCGUUGCCUAUAGGUCAAUUGUACUAUGAUCUUUAUACGGUGAACUCAAAUUGUGAUUUUCAUGUGGUUUAUGCCAAAACAUUGUAGGGCCUAUGCCUCCUCCGAUUAUGUUUGCCUUUUUGGCAAUUGACCUUCAAUGGUGCCCAAGUAUUUUACAUAGUACCCACCUAGUAUACUAAUAAAAAUACAAAUAACAUAUAUGUAUUACCAUUACUUGAUAAUUUUUUAUGAUAUAUAUGGUUCAAAUUGGCCCACUUUCUCAUUAUAUUAUUAUUGAUGGCAUGAGUAAAUUAUAUGAUGGCAUACUAUUUUAAUCAUGCAUGUGAUAUGAAUAAAAUUAGGAGUAGGGUUUUACACCUUUGUCGAUCCACACUUAGGUCACUAGUAGAUGAAUUAAAGUUCUGAGAUAGUCUGUCGUUUAGUAACUCAUAAAGUCCAUCGACUUCACUAAUAGUUGAUGUGUCAUUAUCUAGAUCCUGAGUCUCUACCCCUAACACAAUCUUUAUUGCACAUAGCUUCCUUUAUAGUAACUUAAAUGAUAGUACUAUUGUAUAUUCUUUAGGAGUACCUGUCUUUGUGUCAUCUUGCCUUGUGCUAAGGAAUUUCAACUCCAAAUUUAUCUUCACAAAUUGAGUUAACUUCUUGUUCUAAUCUCUUUGUUAAUUACCUCACUAAGUUAAGGUGCAUGUAUCUCGAAGUUCUCUUUGACUUUUGCACCUUACAAGAUGAGUCCACCCCAUCAAAAUGAGAAAACUAAGAAACGACAUAAUCUCACUCUUAUCUCUACAAGAGUUCAUAUCCUUGACAUUUGUCUUCACGCCUUUGCUUCAUGUUAUAUCUUUUAAGUUGACUCCCUUCACAUGGCAUAGGUACUUUACCAAGUUUACUAAGUUUCACCGAAGUCCUCCACUCCUUGAUUUGAAUUAAGAUGAUGGUGUCUCUCAUGCAUCAUGCCCACCAUUUCAUGUGUCAACCCUUCGUUGAACUCGAUUUCCUCAUAAGCUUAAAGUGUGUCUUUGUUUGAUAUUACCUCCGGUCGCUCUUUCACUUAAUCUCAUGAUGCGUCAAUCAAUGCAUUAUCUUAUGUGAGAUUACGUGAUGAAUCCUUAUUACUCACUUGAUCCUUUGAGUUUUACAAAACUUCAAACUUAAGAUACCUCCCUCAAUAUAUGUGCUUCAUUAUACAUGAAUCUACCACUGAAGAAUUGAGAUUUAUCUCUCCUAUAUAUUUGUCUUGUUGGAGUAAUUAUCCUCUUUCUAUAUUUUCUCUAAAAUUUUUAAAAAUCACUAUCUCCUUGGACUACUCUACAUUGUUGUAAAAAAUUAUAUUAUUCUGUCACUAUGAAUGCACUUAUUAAAUUAUGACUAUUCACUAAUAUAGUCCCUCGUUGUACCUCAUAAUAUUUGGAAACGUGUAAAACCUACUGAACAAUUUAGCUCUUAUGGACGUAUCUAUCACAUGUUGUAGAAAAAAUUUUCAUAAUCCAUGACAUCAAGUUUCAAUUACCUUGAGAUGGUCACAGAUAGCCUAUCAUUCAUGUAUAAGUCAUUGCGUAAGUAUUGAAUUUUUUGAGUUAAUUUUCCUCACCUUUAUGAACUUUGAACAAACUCUUUAUUGAGCAACUUAUCCCUUUUUAUUCAAUCUCAUCCUUUUCAAAACACUCCCACUUGUAUUUAGCACUAUCAAGUUAAAGAUGUAACAAAGGGUUUGACGUAGCCCAACAUGCUUAAAAGUUACCAUAGGUAAUCAAAAUGGGUUAAUCAAGCCUCUUAUAAGCCUUUUAUAUAUUCGCUAAUGCUGAAUAAAAUAAAAAAAAACUAACAUAACUAAACAUUAGAUAUUAUGUAAGUCGUAUGAUUACAAGCCUAGGUUAUUAUAUGAUUUUGACUUAUAAAAAUAUUACAAAGUCAUCUAUAAAAAUUUAGUGAAAUUGUAAAGUUGAAGAUGUUUGAGUUUUAAAUAAUAGUGUCAUAUUAUAAGGAUUUAACACUGUAAAAUAAAUUAAUUUUAAAAUGUCUAUAUUGACUGAUGAUGCUAGAUGAUGUAUGCAUAUAAUAGUAAAUAUGUUAGUUUGUAUCGUUCCCAUCAGGUUUGUACUUAUUAUGUUACACAAGGAAGCUUCAUUUGAAAUAUUAUUUAUUAAUGAUGGAUUUACCAUAGUAGUGGCCAACCCUUGGUCAUUAAAGAGACAUCUAAAAGCCGAUGUUGAUUCAGAAACCCUUGCCAUCCUAAUCCCAAUCUCGAUACUAGGUUAUAAGCUAGGAGAUAAGACUCGUCCAGUGGGCGCUCUUGCUGACUAUUGACUCGUUUCUCUUAUGAUAAUAUGGGCGCAAAUUGUUAAUAUCUAAUUUAGUUCUAUGCCAAAUUAGUAAACGUUGCAAAUGCAAAUUGGUUUGAGACUACUUUCAUCACAAAUCGACGUCAAAAGCAAGUGAGAGUUGACUUACACUAAUAUGGGUACAAAUUGUCAAUAUCUAAUUUAGUUCUAUGCUAAAUUAGCUGGUGUUGCAAAUGCAAAUUGGUUCGAGACUAUUUUCAUCACAAAUCAACAUCGAAAGCAAGUGAGAGUCGAUCAUCUAAACAUGCAAAACUUAGGUUAAGGUAUUCUCGACAAGACAUCUCCGAUUGCUCAAGUUAAAAUACAUCUAGCUUAAAGAACAUAUGACUUGUAUUGAAAGUUCUUUUGAUAAAGAGAAUACAUCUUCGACCUUACAUGAAUGAGAUAUAUAACCAUCAACGAUUACAAAUAUUUGUUAUUGUUUGGUGACGUACUGAAUAUGACCAGGAGCUGACACACAAGACUGACUAUGAGCCCGACUCGGUGUUGAUGCAGUGCUUAGAUGUCCACUUUGCUGAUGUAGUAGUACUCAAAUGCCUGCCCACUUCAAAUAUUCCCAAUAACAAGUAUAGUAGUGAACCGGUUGGGUUCCAGAGAACGAUUAGCUGAGGCACGAUUAGUCGAGGCAAAGCAGCCAAAACUACUCAAGGCACACUGACUUUAGAAAGAGAGAAUUGAUGUCAGUUGUGCAGGGAUCAAUGUAUCCAUUAUCAUGAACAAAUCUAACGAUACGGUACUCAGUUGCAAAGGCAACAAAUGAAGAUAUUCCAUAUCGCUCUAUUGCAGAUUGGAAAGAAAGUAAGUCUGUGUUGGCUAAUUUUCCAUAAAUGUAGAUAACACACUGUUAAACAUUUUCUUAACAAGUCCUCGUAGCACAAAGGCCAACUUAUCUUUUGAAACUUCUUUUCUAAAUGAUAACACAGAAUCUUCCUCAUCAUUUUCCCAAUCGAUCAGCUCAUAAAAGAUCUCUGUUUGUCAUCUUUCUCCCAACAAUGAUUCAAGAAGUGCAGCCUCCUCUUCCUACACACAACAUAAAAGCUUGUAAGCAACCACAUCAAAAGAGUUUUCACGGGGUUCAGUUAAACAUGUCAAAUUGCACAAGGUAAAGGCGCUUUCUUCGGAGAAGGUUGCCUCCUGAUCUCUCUAUCAAGACCUAGAGGCCAAUUAACUCGAAUGACAAUGUGUUGUCAUUGACAAUCAUCACACCCCCGCAACACCUUCGUCAACGAGCAUUUCGUCGCUUUUGUUUGCUGUAUAUCUCUUUUACCUUGUUUUUAUAUCUCUUUGCUUGAAAACUGUGAACAAGAACAAUUUAUAGAACUACAAAACAAUUGCUCAUCAUAAUGGACAAAAUUAUCUCAAAAUGAUUUAGUUUUCACAUGGGGGUUUAAGAUAGUGUUUGAGCGUUGAUUUGAUUCACAAGUUCACACAUUAAGCCUAUAGGAACUUGUCAACGCACCCGACACCUAGUAAAUAGUCAUUUGUGACUUUGCAACUGUUUGUUUGUCUUCUAAAGUCAUUAUUUUCUUCGUUCUCUCUUUUCUCUCUUACACACUAAGUAUUUAGUCUCUUCGCGAAACAUCGAGAUUUGUCCGUCGCUUGUUUCCGAACUACUCAAUUUGCUCUUUGACAAGUCUUUCGAGACCUGAGCGAGGUUGUAACUAAACUGACCCUUUACAAACAGAUGACGUAAAAGUGCCUCAGAGCAUAAGCAAUUCCAACUAAGUUUAUGACAAUGUGAAUUCUAAAUAAUAGAGAAAUAAUCACAACAAAAUUACUGUAAAUCAUACCACAAGAGCAUUAAAUUCUGUCUCCUCAUCUUUGGCAGCAACGGUAACAGGGUCCUCCAGCAGAUCCUGAUUUCCAGGUCAUGGAAAAGAAUAGGGCAUAAACAAAACAACUGUUUCCUUAUUGAAAUAACAACAGACAUGGUUUCAAUAUAAUCCAUAAUCGGAACACUGAUUAAUGAUUCUAACUACAUAACUUAUUGAAGAAAAAGUAACUUUUUUCCAAAAUGCAAGAGAAAAAGGUUACAUGUAGCUCAAACUGGGAUCCCGAGAAGAAACUUGGUCUACGAGGGGAAAAAAAAAAUCAGCAUCUGAUCUACAAACAUAAAGGCUAAAAUAUCCAAGAACUCAAUACAAUCUAACAGGCAAUAUCUGAAAGUAGGAAGCAAACAAACUAACCUGAAAUAAACCAGGGGCCACAACAUCCAGAAAAAUUAAAUCAAGAAACAGUGAUUAAUAUAUCAAAGGCAUGCAGAAUAACCAUAAUCAAUAAAUGAAUACUGAAUUCAAAACCCAUUUCAAAGAGAUGAAUCAUUUGCAUCGUCAGCAAUUUGGAGAACACCAUUUUCACCCUGCAGAAUUAAAUCACUGUUAUUCUUAUUUAUUAGUAAAUCUUGUACAAGAAACUAAAAAUAUCAGAUAUAUUACAGACAUUGAUCUUAAAAACAUCAAGAAUGUUUUCAUCUGGAGGAUAAACAAAAAGAAAAUUGGCAAUGUACCUUGACAGCAACAAAGAGAAGUGGAUCAGAUGGUGUGUAGAUCAUGUAAUGUGCACCAUCCUACGGAUCGAAUCACAUGAACAUAAAAUUAUAAUGUGAUGUUUGAAACAAGAAAUUAUCUAAACAACCUCACAGUACAACCAAAAAUUCCAUAAGUUAGCACAGAGUCAAAAAAAAAGAAAAACAAAACCCAUUUACAUGGCUUGAAGAGCAUUAACAGAAUCAUACUCGAACCAUAUGAUCCAUACCUAUACUCAUCCCUAAAUCAUAUACCAACUCAUCCAAACCUCUCUUAUUCUACAAUUCAUUUAUUAUUUAGCAGUGUUUUCUUGAGUUUUCUUGUUUUGUGGUGCCAGAAGAAGAGGGGUAUCAACCAUGAAGAUAAAAAGCCUAAAUAAUUCCUUACUCUGAAAUUAACAUAGAUGAGGCUAUUCAAAGGUCUUCAACAAAGGUUGAUUUAGCUUACAAUCAGAACUACCCAGUGGACUCCUAGCAGCAGAAUCAUAAUUCUCAAGAUUGGCAUGCCUCGAUUCAAUCCAGCAAAUCUGGUUGAGUCCAACACCAAUAACCUUCAAGAGAUUAAUGGCAUAAGCCAUUUUGGCUCAUCAAACUGAUUGAUGGAUUUUUGGCUAAUCCUAGUGGAUUGAUUAGUUAUUCACAAUUUAAUUCAAUGCCAGCUGAUCACUCCAAAUCUAGCAGAUCCCCCUUGAUCCCAACUGAUUAAAGUCAUUUGAAAAGAAUUUGAUGUACAUUCCAAUUCAGCCAAUUUACUGUAUAUAUCUGUACAUGUAAGAACAUGUAUAUAAUCAAGCAUUAGCGGGAGCCACAUCCGCUGGGCUCGCCCUUUUAUAUAGUAAGCAUUAAUGGGAGAAUGGUGGGUGCAUGUCAAUGAGGUGCUUGGGGUGUGUAUGCACAAAUUGUACUAUUAAAGUAUUAUUCUUAGCAAAAAGAAACUAACAAUCUCAAUCCAAUCUGUCAACAUCACUAAGACCAAACUACGCAAACCUAUUAAAGUCUAACAGACCCUAGCUGUGCAAACCGCAAACCAUCAGUUUAAAUAAAAUUAAUGGAAAACUAAGAGGACAAACCCAGGUUCUGAAUACAGGUCCCUAUCAGAUUCUGACUGACCUUUGGAUACAACAAAUUACCCAUUUGCUGUCUGCUGAAACUUUAGCUACAGUAGUAGAACAUCAUACUAGGAAGAUCAUGUAACUUACUAGUUAUCUCACCAAAUUGAAGCAAGUUAUCUCAACACCUUCACUGGGCAAUCCUUCAAUAUUUUCACCAUCAUCUGAAGAAUCAAAAUCAUUGUUGUCAUUGAAACAAAAAUUUGAAGGAUAGACAUUACUCUUAAAAUGACAGAUGAUAAAGCAUAAACAUCUAUCAAAACUAAAGAAAAAGAUCACAUAACUGAAACAUGCAAACUGAUUAUAGUUAAGAAAGUGCUAUGUGCCACAUUUUCCCAAUAUAUAAAUUAAUGUUACUGACAUAAUUUAUGGAACUGGAAAAUCUUAUACCUCCAAUGCAAUAAAAUACAGCUAUAGAAAUCAUAUACGAUGGCAACAAAGUAAAAUCCUUAAAACAAAUACACCAAAGGACAGUGCAACCUUCAUCAAAACUGGAUGUUGAAGAGGAAUUGGGUAAUGUCAAGUUGAAGUGGAUCUAACUGAUUGAAGAUGCCUAAAACCAUCCAGACUAUAACACGUUAUUUUUUUUUCUACGCAACAUAGGACAGAACUUACCAUUACAGAAUAUACUGACUACAGAAAUGAGAUAACACAGUUCUAUAAUGCUCAUUUUAAUCAUAUUCAGCACAAGAGUAUAACGGUAUCCCAAGAAGUAAAUUGGAGACAGAGGUUAAGGCUAUGGAAGCAGUUUACAUAAAUCAGAUGUCCAUGUUUAAAGGUUUAAUAAGACUCCAUGUAACAUAGAUGAUACAACUGUUUAGACGAUACAAAGUAUUUCCUCCAAAUAUCAAUACAUAUUUGUUAAGUCAACAAAAAACAAACUUUAAACACGCAAAAUCUUUAAGGGCAUUGGUUUCUCAUUAAGAGAUGCAAAAAAAAUUACACAAUAAGGUGAAUCUAAAAGACCUAACAACUGAUUUGACCUAGCCCUGCAUGGCUGAUUCAAAUAAAAGGCAACACAUAGUAAAUUAUAGUGACUGACAACUAAAAAAUCAAGAAGUAAAAGAAAUAUUCAAUCAAAUACCUUCAAUGCACAAAAUACUCCCCUAGUAAUAACCUAGUUUCAGGUAUAUCAAUAAGUAAUGAUUUUUAGUGACUUGUUUCCAAACAAAAACAGGUAAAGAUUUAGUUCUUUUAACAAUCAAUAAUUAUGGAUAGAUAAUUUUCAGUCACAUUUAUCAUAUUAUCUAGAACAAAUUAUUUGAAGGAACCCAUUUUCACAUAAACAAAUAGAUAAGAAAAAUCAAAAAUCAUUUUCAUAGAGAGAUAUCCAACAGAAGAACUAUCAGUGCCAAACUCCAGUACGUCUUCUUCAGAGUAACAAAACCUGAAAGGGAAGAAAAAUCAAAAAUCUGUUGUCCUAACACACUGAAUACAAGAUGCAUAUGGAUUUUGGCAAGGGCAUGUGCAGCAGCAGGG